CGGCCUACGAUGAAAUCUUGUUACGGCGUUUCCUUCCAGUCGUGAAAGAGGCGAUUCACGAAAACCUGGUUCGUUUGUCAAUCAAAUUGUUUAAACCCGGCUAUUUGGAAGUUAGGAGUGAUACGGUUCAAUCUUACUGAAAUGCUGACUGACUUGAUAAUUGGGGUUGCUGAAAAUGCUUGCAAUGUUUUCUUUGUUUUGACAAGUUCUAAAAUCACACGAUAAGGGGAAAUGGACGGAUAACAUGCAGGAGAGAUGACUGAAGUGUGAACAAGUCCUAUCACUGGCAAUCAUGAUGCCAAUUGCGGACAGUGCAUUUUGAAAUUGGCAGCCUGGUCUGAUGCCAUACCUCCAAUGAAAGGAGAGAUAAGCCAACAAAGAGUGGGUGAAAGCAUUAUAUGUAAUCACAGAAAUGAAUUUGAGCUGUUCAUUUGAAUCAUGAAAAUAAAUUUCACAAUCAGCAUGUGCAGGCCUGUAACUGCAGUUGCCUAUAUUUUUCACUGACUGAGUCCUUACCUCUAUUGUGUGGAAAAUAUUGGUGGUGCAGCAGGAGCUGUGAGAGAAGCCAACGCUUUUCUUUCUGAGAAGGAGCAGAACUGUGAGGAAUCACUGUUACAGGAAUCAUAGAAGCCCUUCACUAACACUAAAUCCUUCACUAUCAAUGUCUUUGAUU